rnacentral:rRNA from 1 species
UGGGGAAUUUUGGACAAUGGGCGAAAGCCUGAUCCAGCAAUGCCGCGUGUGUGAAGAAGGCCUUCGGGUUGUAAAGCACUUUUGUCCGGAAAGAAAUCCUUGGCUCUAAUACAGUCGGGGGAUGACGGUACCGGAAGAAUAAGCACCGGCUAACUACGUGCCAGCAGCCGCGGUAAUACGUAGGGUGCAAGCGUUAAUCGGAAUUACUGGGCGUAAAGCGUGCGCAGGCGGUUUGCUAAGACCGAUGUGAAAUCCCCGGGCUCAACCUGGGAACUGCAUUGGUGACUGGCAGGCUAGAGUAUGGCAGAGGGGGGUAGAAUUCCACGUGUAGCAGUGAAAUGCGUAGAGAUGUGGAGGAAUACCGAUGGCGAAGGCAGCCCCCUGGGCCAAUACUGACGCUCAUGCACGAAAGCGUGGGGAGCAAAUAGGAUUAGAUACCCUGGUAGUCCACGCCCUAAACGAUGUCAACUAGUUGUUGGGGAUUCAUUUCCUUAGUAACGUAGCUAACGCGUGAAGUUGACCGCCUGGGGGAGUACGGUCGCAAGAUUAAAACUCAAAGGAAUUGACGGGGUCUAGCUGUUUCCUG